ACGUAGGGUGCAAGCGUUAAUCGGAAUUACUGGGCGUAAAGGGUGCGUAGGCGGUUGUUUAAGUCUGUCGUGAAAUCCCCGGGCUCAACCUGGGAAUGGCGAUGGAUACUGGGCAGCUAGAGUGCGUCAGAGGAUGGUGGAAUUCCCGGUGUAGCGGUGAAAUGCGUAGAUAUCGGGAGGAACAUCAGUGGCGAAGGCGGCCAUCUGGGACAACACUGACGCUGAAGUACGAAAGCGUGGGGAGCAAACAG
rnacentral:rRNA from 1 species